AUACCUUUCUCGGCCUUUUGGCUAAGAUCAAGUGUAGUAUCUGUUCUUAUCAGUUUAAUAUCUGAUACGUGGGCCAUCGGCCCACAUGAUAUUAAAUUUAUGUUUUUAAGGGGAGAGCCCUCUUACGGUAGCUUGCUGCUGGGGCUCUUACGCGUCGCCUUGGCGCUGCACUACAGCUAAGGCCCGGCGCACCCUUC